AUGCUUGCUUCAGCAGCACAUAUACUAAAAUUGGAAUGAUACAGAAAAGAUUAGCAUGGCCCUUGUACAAGGGUGACAUGCAAAUUUUUGAAACGUUCCACAUUUAA
ensembl:snRNA U6 U6 spliceosomal RNA